AACGAACGCUGGCGGCAUGCCUAACACAUGCAAGUCGAACGAGACCUUCGGGUCUAGUGGCGCACGGGUGCGUAACGCGUGGGAACCUGCCCUUAGGUUCGGAAUAACUCCCCGAAAGGGGUGCUAAUACCGGAUAAUGUCUUCGGACCAAAGAUUUAUCGCCUUUGGAUGGGCCCGCGUUGGAUUAGCUAGUUGGUAGGGUAAAAGCCUACCAAGGCGACGAUCCAUAGCUGGUCUGAGAGGAUGAUCAGCCACACUGGGACUGAAACACGGCCCAGACUCCUACGGGAGGCAGCAGUGGGGAAUAUUGGACAAUGGGCGAAAGCCUGAUCCAGCAAUGCCGCGUGAGUGAUGAAGGCCUUAGGGUUGUAAAGCUCUUCUACCCGGGAUGAUAAUGACAGUACCGGGAGAAUAAGCUCCGGCUAACUCCGUG
rnacentral:rRNA from 1 species